rnacentral:rRNA from 1 species
UACAGAGGGUGCGAGCGUUAAUCGGAAUUACUGGGCGUAAAGCGUGCGCAGACGGUCAUGUAAGUCGGGUGUGAAAGCCCCGGGCUCAACCUGGGAAUUGCAUUCGAGACUGUGUGGCUAGGGUGCGGAAGAGGGAAGCGGAAUUUCCGGUGUAGCGGUGAAAUGCGCAGAUAUCGGGAGGAACACCAGUAGCGAAGGCGGCACUCUGGGCCGGUACUGACGCUGAGGAGCGAAAGCAUGGGGAGCGAACAGG